rnacentral:rRNA from 1 species
CUACUCGGGUAUCUAAUCCUGUUCGCUCCCCAUGCUUUCGCUCCUCAGUGUCAGUAACAGCCCAGAGACCCGCCUUCGCCACCGGUAUUCCUCCUGAUAUCUGCGCAUUCCACCGCUACACCAGGAAUUCCAGCCUCCCCUACUGCACUCAAGCCAGCCCGUACCCACCGCAAACCCACAGUUAAGCCAUGAGCUUUCACGACAGACGCAACCAGCCACCUACAAGCCCUUUACGCCCAAUAAUUCCGGACAACGCUCGCGCCCUACGUAUUACCGCGGCUGCUGGCAC